UGGAGGAUUCGCCUAGCGGCCUAUGGCGCACGCCUGGAACGCGUGUUGGGUUAACAGCCCUCGGGGGUUCAAAUCCCCCAUCCUCCGCCAC
rnacentral:tRNA from 1 species